rnacentral:rRNA from 1 species
AGAAUCAACGCUGGCGGCGUGCCUAACACAUGCAAGUCGAACGAGAAAGUGGAGCAAUCCAUGAGUAAAGUGGCGCACGGGUGAGUAACACGUGACUAACCUACCUUUUAGUGGGGGAUAACCUAGGGAAACCUGGGCUAAUACCGCAUAAUACCUACGGGUCAAAGCAGCAAUGCGCUUAAGGAGGGGGUCGCGGCCGAUUAGUUAGUUGGCGGGGUAAUGGCCCACCAAGACUAUGAUCGGUA